rnacentral:misc_RNA from 1 species
UGUAGUAAUGAAAGAGGGCUUCAUUUGCAAGUACUAUAGACUUCAACAUAAGAAGAACUUAAUGAAUCGCUCUUUCAGUUUUCAUCUCAGUGAAUAAAUUAUCGAGCCAGAACGAAAAAAAUUAAUAUACGCAUGAGUUGGAGCCAUUCCUGUCUGAGGUUAAAUACACGCAUGGCUCCAGUCUCUGGUCGUCCGCCUAAACUGACUAAAUGAGUUUUGUCAGCGGAGCUUGUCAGCGGAUGACUUUUUCAUCGCCGGAAUAUCGCUUAACGACCUCGCUGAACAAGAUAGACUCUGCCUUCUCUUCGUUAUGUCGGAGCCAUUCCUGUAUUUAUGGUCGCCAGUCCAUAACAAGCACAGGAGGCGUUAGCCAUGAAAAUGGUUUUUAGAAAGCUUCAGAAUGUUUUGGUUUUGCUACUUUGUAGUGCAUUGCUAAUAAGGUUCUCUGAUGCAAAAGAUUUUCGAUACAAGCAUUACACUUUCAGGAAAAAACAGAGGCUAGUGAGUAUUGGUUAAAUUUGCGAAGAAAUUCGUGAGGUUGGAAUAACAGGCCAAGAGGUAUUCGCCAUUGGAAAAAGAUUGUGAAACUAUAACCUGUCAAGGGUUUGUUGGGUUUGAACUUACUAAAUGUAAACGGAAGUGUAUAUCACAAUUCUGCUACAAUGAGCUGUAUGCCUGGGAUGAGG